rnacentral:rRNA from 1 species
UACGAAGGGGGCUAGCGUUGCUCGGAAUGACUGGGCGUAAAGGGCGCGUAGGCGGCUUGUAGAGUCGGGUGUGAAAUUCCUGGGCUCAACCCGGGAACUGCGUCCGAUACUGGCAGGCUUGAAUUCGGGAGAGGGAUGCGGAAUUCCAGGUGUAGCGGUGAAAUGCGUAGAUAUCUGGAGGAACACCGGUGGCGAAGGCGGCAUCCUGGACCGAAAUUGACGCUGAGGCGCGAAAGCCAGGGGAGCAAACGGG